rnacentral:rRNA from 1 species
UACGUAGGGUGCAAGCGUUAAUCGGAAUUACUGGGCGUAAAGCGUGCGCAGGCGGUUUUGUAAGUUUGUCGUGAAAGCCCCGGGCUCAACCUGGGAAUUGCGAUGAAGACUGCAAGGCUUGAAUCUGGCAGAGGGGGGUAGAAUUCCACGUGUAGCAGUGAAAUGCGUAGAGAUGUGGAGGAAUACCGAUGGCGAAGGCAGCCCCCUGGGUCAAUACUGACGCUCAUGCACGAAAGCGUGGGGAGCAAACAGG